AAAUUGAAGAGUUUGAUCAUGGCUCAGAUUGAACGCUGGCGGCAGGCCUAACACAUGCAAGUCGAACGGUAACAGGAAGCAGCUUGCUGCUUCGCUGACGAGUGGCGGACGGGUGAGUAAUGUCUGGGAAACUGCCUGAUGGAGGGGGAUAACUACUGGAAACGGUAGCUAAUACCGCAUAAUGUCGCAAGACCAAAGAGGGGGACCUUCGGGCCUCUUGCCAUCGGAUGUGCCCAGAUGGGAUUAGCUUGUUGGUGGGGUAACGGCUCACCAAGGCGACGAU
rnacentral:rRNA from 1 species